rnacentral:snoRNA from 1 species
GUCGACGUACUUCAUAGGAUCAUUUCUAUAGUAAUCGUCACUCUUUGACUCUUCAAACGAGCCACUGAAUCCAACUUGGAUGAUGAGUGAUAAUUACCUUUGCGCCCUAAAGUGAGGUUUUGUUUUUUGACUAAUGUCAAGAAUUAGAUAUUAGAGGUUCCUUCGGGAAGUUUGGUAGUGUUUUGCAAUCCUUAGUGGUUCGAAUGACCAUCUUUUAUUCUCUUUUAUCGCCAACAAACUUACUUGCUAUGGUUAUCCAUUUGGCAAUGCAAUAGUUUCGGACUAUUGUUUGCCAUUCUUGGUUUGUGCACUUGUUUUUACAAGGUCUUUCUGAGCUCUGGUUACUAUGUUUUUUUUUGCCGGGAUUUUUUGUUUAAGCUUUGCUUACUCCAAAACAAACUGGCGCGAUGAUCUUUAUCCUUUCUAUGUACUUUUGGUUACUUAACCUAAAAGAUGAUAGAGUUCAAAGGAUGGGUGCAAAUGGCAGUCUGACAAGU